GAUGAAGAACGUAGCGAAAUGCGAUACUUGGUGUGAAUUGCAGAAUCCCGUGAACCAUCGAGUCUUUGAACGCAAGUUGCGCCCGAAGCCGUCAGGCCGAGGGCACGCCUGCCUGGGCGUCACACGCCGUUGCCCCCCCGCGCCCCGCACCCAACGCUUUGGGAGCGACCGCGGGGCGGGCUGAUGAUGGCCUCCCGUGCGCUCCGCCGCGCGGUUGGCCCAAAUACCGAGUCCCCGGCGACGUGCGCCACGACGAUCGGUGGUUGAGAGACCUCUGUCGCAAGUCGUGCGCGCCCGUCGCGUCACGCGGGCUCGCAUAGCGCCCCGCGCCGCACCCGGUGCGGAGCUUUCAACGCGACCCCAGGUCAGGCGGGGUUACCCGCUGAAUUUAAGCAUAUCAAUAAGCGGAGGA
rnacentral:misc_RNA from 1 species